rnacentral:rRNA from 1 species
UGACCUCAAAUCAGGUAGGACUACCCGCUGAACUUAAGCAUAUCAAUAAGCGGAGGAAAAGAAACUAACAAGGAUUCCCCUAGUAACUGCGAGUGAAGCGGGAAAAGCUCAAAUUUAAAAUCUGGCGGUCUCUGACUGUCCGAGUUGUAAUCUAGAGAAGUGUUAUCCGCGCUGGACCGUGUACAAGUCUCCUGGAAUGGAGCGUCAUAGAGGGUGAGAAUCCCGUCUUUGACACGGACUGCCAGGGCUUUGUGAUAUGCUCUCAAAGAGUCGAGUUGUUUGGGAAUGCAGCUCAAAAUGGGUGGUAAAUUCCAUCUAAAGCUAAAUAUUGGCGAGAGACCGAUAGCGAACAAGUACCGUGAGGGAAAGAUGAAAAGAACUUUGGAAAGAGAGUUAAACAGUACGUGAAAUUGCUGAAAGGGAAACGCUUGAAGUCAGUCACGUUGGCCAGGGAUCAACCUUGCUUUUGCUUGGUGUACUUUCUGGUUGAUGGGUCAGCAUCAAUUUUGACCAUUGGAAAAAGGUCAAGGGAAUGUGGCAUCUUCGGAUGUGUUAUAGCCCUUGGUUGCAUACAAUGGUUGG